rnacentral:lncRNA from 1 species
AUACAUCUGUCUUGUCUUUUCAUUUCACAGUCUCUUCUUCCUUUUGAUCUCUCUCCCUCUCAAAACCAUCUGCAUCUCUCAUUUUUCUAUAAACAUGAACCCUAAAAGCACCAAAACAGAAACAAAGAUUAACCAAAACACUGAUAAAAUAGCAUGGACGGAAGAUGCGAUUAGGGUUUCACAUAUCUCAUUCUUAUCCGCCUCCGCCUCUCUCUCUCUCUCUCUCUCUCUCUCUCUCUCUCUCUUCCCCCUCACCCUCUCUCUAGCGACGAUUCAAAAACUGCAAGCGAUUGAUGAAGAUUUCACCAGAUCCAUUCUGAUUCUGCUAUCAUCGGCGGCUAUAGAUGGUGGUUGUCUGGUUAGGUUAGCCAUUUCGACUACUCGACAUCCCUAAGAACGAUGGAGAAGAGGUGCAGCUGAGACAAUAAUGUUAUAGUUUAUGGGAAUACGAACAAGUUAUGUUAACUAAGGUAUUUGGUGGUUGUCAUUCAUUCAUUGUGCAUGCUUACUAUGAAGGUAUGUAAUAUUAGAAAAAGGUAUGUAAUAUUAGAAGAAGGUAUGUAUGGAUAAUUAAUAUGUGUUCUUUUUUUUUUCUGUUUUUGGUUCCUUGACUUCCCUUCAUAUUAUUAGAGUCAAGAUCUUAAAUGAAAAAUU